GUGAGGAAUAUUGCGCAAUGGAGGCAACUCUGACGCAGCCAUGCCGCGUGCAGGAAGAAGGCGCUACGCGUUGUAAACUGCUUUUAACCGGGAAGAAACCCCAGGACGUGUCCUGGGUUGACGGUACCGGAGGAAUAAGCACCGGCUAACUUCGUGCCAGCAGCCGCGGUACUACGAAGGGUGCAAGCGUUAUCCGGCUUCAUUGGGUUUAAAGGGUGCGUAGGCGGAGCGUUAAGUCAGUGGUGAAAUCCUGCAGCUUAACUGUAGACUUGCCAUUGAUACUGGCGCUCUUGAGUGCGCUUGAAGUGGGCGGAAUGUGCCGUGUAGCGGUGAAAUGCUUAGAUAUGGCACAGAACACCAAUUGCGAAGGCAGCUCACUAAGGCGAUACUGACGCUGAGGCACGAAAGCGUGGGGAUCGAACAGGAUUAGAAACCCUUGUAGUCC
rnacentral:rRNA from 1 species